AAUGGGCGAAAGCCUGACGCAGCGACGCCGCGUGAGGGAUGAAGGCCUUCGGGUUGUAAACCUCUUUCAGCAGGGACGAAGCGAAAGUGACGGUACCUGCAGAAGAAGCACCGGCUAACUACGUGCCAGCAGCCGCGGUAAUACGUAGGGUGCAAGCGUUGUCCGGAUUUAUUGGGCGUAAAGAGCUCGUAGGCGGUCUGUCGCGUCGGAUGUGAAAACUUAGGGCUCAACCCUGAGCUUGCAUUCGAUACGGGCAGACUAGAGGAUGGCAGGGGAGACUGGAACUCCUGGUGUAGCGGUGGAAUGCGCAGAUAUCAGGAAGAACACCGGUGGCGAAGGCGGGUCUCUGGGCCAUUACUGACGCUGAGGAGCGAAAGCGUGGGGAGCAAA
rnacentral:rRNA from 1 species